UCACACCACCAUGGGGGCUGUUCCCCAAAGCAUUUCCCUGCCCAUAUCACCUGCAAUCAUGGAAAUUGCAUGCAAAUCUCGACUAUGGAGUCUGUUGCCUGGGGAACCUGGCGUACGACUCCAAGGUUAGCACAGCUUUCCAUUCAAAUGUGUCUGUGGUGUCAUCUAUCCUGGCAUCUCAACAUCUAAUCAAGAGGUUUUCUAAAUCCCUGCUAUGAGUGAGACCAUCUGAUAUUUUUCUUAAAUGACAUUGUUUGAGGACCUGCUGUGCUCCUGCUGGGCAACACCAGCAGACCGUCAUGGUCAGCGAGCCAGAGGACAACUGUGGUCUCCAUGCUCUCUCCUAGCUGGAGUCUCCUUUUCCCAUCAGCAAAAGACAAACUAGAUCUCUGGGUGUCAGCCACUGAAGAGCCCAACCCAGCCUUUGUUCUCAGUGUUGGAAAAUGGACCUUGGCCGCCAGCACUUGUGAAAACACCUGGAAUAAAAUGACACAAGGGGAAUGGAAAUCAGAAAAGAGAAGCUACCUGGGUAAAAAGAGACAAAAGGAGCUCAGCGUAGGCCAGGAGCAGCUCAUAUC